rnacentral:rRNA from 1 species
UACGUAGGUGGCAAGCGUUAUCCGGAAUUAUUGGGCGUAAAGCGCGCGCAGGUGGUUUCUUAAGUCUGAUGUGAAAGCCCACGGCUCAACCGUGGAGGGUCAUUGGAAACCGGGAGACUUGAGUGCAGAAGAGGAAAGUGGAAUUCCAUGUGUAGCGGUGAAAAUGCGUAGAGAUAUGGAGGAACACCAGUGGCGAAGGCGACUUUCUGGUCUGUAACUGACACUGAGGCGCGAAAAGCGUGGGGGAGCAAACAGG